rnacentral:rRNA from 1 species
CGAAGCAACGCGAAGAACCUUACCAGGUCUUGACAUCCUCUGACAACCCUAGAGAUAGGGCUUCUCCUUCGGGAGCAGAGUGACAGGUGGUGCAUGGUUGUCGUCAGCUCGUGUCGUGAGAUGUUGGGUUAAGUCCCGCAACGAGCGCAACCCUUGAUCUUAGUUGCCAUCAUUUAGUUGGGCACUCUAAGGUGACUGCCGGUGACAAACCGGAGGAAGGUGGGGAUGACGUCAAAUCAUCAUGCCCCUUAUGACCUGGGCUACACACGUGCUACAAUGGACGGUCCAAAGAGCUGCAAGACCGCGAGGUGGAGCUAAUCUCAUAAAACCGUUCUCAGUUCGGAUUGUAGGCUGCAACUCGCCUACAUGAAACAAAUAAAAAUUGUAAUCGCGGAUCAGCAU